CUACUGUAUAUAAUUAUAUAAUUAAUUGAACAAGACGCAACCUUUGUUUUAUAUUAGUUAUACUUUGCCAGUAUCAUUGCAACUAAAGUGUGUUAAUCUAAAACGAAUUUGAAUCCCAACUUCUUUGAUUUUAUCAAUCAUUAUACAAACUGUAAUAUAUAAGUUUGGUUGUGGAAUACAUAAGUAAGUGAUCAUAAUCAAACAAAAAAUUAAAUCUUACUUAAUUGCAUCAAAGUUUUACUAUUUGAUUAAAUAAUCUUCGUUGAUGAUGAAUCUUAUUUUCAGAUUUUUCCUCUGAUCAUACAAUAUAGUCCAUUUAGCAUUCUGUUAAAUUGACAAUAUCACUUUACACAACCUGAAAUUCAUUAUUUAAACAAGUUGGCAAACGGGGUCUUUUAUCAGCAUAUUUCCCCGAAUGGUUUAUCCUUUGAUUAUCUGCAUACUGUUGAUUCGUUAUUAGUCAUUGGGCAAAAAUUAAUCCACUUUUCCUUGAAGGCAAAUACUUUACUUUAUCAGAGCUAAAUUAAAAAUAAUCAAAAUUAUAAAGUCCUAAAGUCCUAAAAGACAAUAACAACAAAAACAAUGUAUAGGAAGAAUAUCAAAGUAAUAUUGCAAUAAUAAUUAAAAAAAAAUCAAUAAGUCAGCACUUGAAUAAGAUUCUUUUAUUUCAGGUUAAUAUGUAAUUUUAUCAAACUGAAUCUAUAAGAAAAGUGUAGAUCAACAGUAAUCGGUAUAUAUCAGGGAUGGGGUCAAGUACUUUAAAAUGUAAUCGAUUAAAUUACAAUUACUUUGCUAAUUUUAUUUUAUCGAUUACAUUACAAUUACACCUUAAUUCAAAUGUAGUUGGUUACAUUAGAAUACUUUUCUUUAAAGUAAUCAUGAUUACUAUAGAUUACUUAUGAUUACAUUGUAUAUUGUAAUAUUAAAGACUUUCUUAUAAACUUUGUAUAAUUAUGAUAGAGCUAAUGUUUGUGAUUUUUUUUAAUUUCCUUAAUUCAUUCAUCUUAUUAUGAAAACUAGGAGCAGUGUUACAUGUAUAGUGUUUGAUAUCAUAGACAAGUGUCUUUUUCUGUGUAAAAUAAAAUAUAUAACAUUGUUUUUAUAAAACAAUUAGCUAACUGUCUAAUUAACAAAAAACCUGAUCAAAUACAUGAAAAAAUCAGUUAAGUAUAGUUUUAGUGUCUGUGGGGAUAUAAAUGACAGAUGCAUAUAAAAAUGUAUGUUUUUACAGGUGUUAAUCACUACUUCCAUUUUUUUGACAAACAAUAGGUGGACUUGGG
rnacentral:lncRNA from 1 species